GUGGGGAAUCUUGCGCAAUGGGCGAAAGCCUGACGCAGCCAUGCCGCGUGAAUGAUGAAGGUCUUAGGAUUGUAAAAUUCUCUCACCGGGGACGAUAAUGACGGUACCCGGAGAAGAAGCUCCGGCUAACUUCGUGCCAGCAGCCGCGGUAAUACGAAGGGGGCUAGCGUUGCUCGGAAUUACUGGGCGUAAAGGGCGCGUAGGCGGACAGCUUAGUCAGAGGUGAAAGCCCAGGGCUCAACCUUGGAAUUGCCUUGGAUACUGGCUGUCUUGAGUUUGGGAGAGGUGAGUGGAACUCCGAGUGUAGAGGUGAAAUUCGUAGAUAUUCGGAAGAACACCAGUGGCGAAGGCGACUCACUGGCCCAAUACUGACGCUGAGGCGCGAAAGCGUGGGGAGCAAACAGGAUUAGAAACCCGGGUAGUCC
rnacentral:rRNA from 1 species